rnacentral:rRNA from 1 species
CCUACGGGAGGCAGCAGUGGGGAAUAUUGGACAAUGGGGGCAACCCUGAUCCAGCCAUGCCGCGUGUGUGAAGAAGGCCCUCGGGUUGUAAAGCACUUUCAGUGAGGAAGAACGCCUGGUGGUUAAUACCCAUCAGGAAAGACAUCACUCACAGAAGAAGCACCGGCUAACUCCGUGCCAGCAGCCGCGGUAAUACGGAGGGUGCGAGCGUUAAUCGGAAUUACUGGGCGUAAAGCGCGCGUAGGUGGCUUGAUAAGCCGGUUGUGAAAGCCCCGGGCUCAACCUGGGAACGGCAUCCGGAACUGUCAAGCUAGGGUGCAGGAGAGGAAGGUAGAAUUCCCGGUGUAGCGGUGAAAUGCGUAGAGAUCGGGAGGAAUACCAGUGGCGAGGGCGGCCUUCUGGACUGACACUGACACUGAGGUGCGAAAGCGUGGGUAGCAAACAGGAUUAGAUACCCUGUAGUC